CUGGACAGCCAUAUCACUCUGGAUGCGCCUGAUCUCCUCUAAUAUCAGAAAUUAAGCAGGGUCAGGCCUGGUAAGUAUUUGGAAGAAACAUCUUUAAAACAAAUUUCCUUUUACA
rnacentral:rRNA from 1 species